GGUGUUUGCAGUAACAAUUUACUUCGGUCUUUGAUGUCACCACCAAUAUGGUAAGGAAGACCACAGUUAGCAAAUGAUACAAAUUCACCACGCUCGAACAUUAUAAUUUCAGCAUCUUCGCUUAGUCUUCUUGCUCUGGCUGCUGCUGAUGCUCCGCCGGCUACGCCAC
rnacentral:antisense_RNA from 1 species